AGGGUUUGAUUAUGGCUCAGGACGAACGCUGGCGGUGCGCCUAAUGCAUGCAAGUCGAACGGUCCUACCGAGCUUGCUCGGGACGGAUAGUGGCAGACGGCUGAGUAACACGUAAGUGAUCAACCCCGAAGCGGGGAAUAAUCUCGAGAAAUUGGGCCUAAUACCCCGUACGCUUUAGGGAACAAGAUAACCCUAAAGGAAAGAUUUAUCGCUUUGGGACGAGCUUGCGGCCUAUCAGGUAGUUGGAAGGGUAAUAGCCUACCAAGCCUAAGACGGGUAACCGGUGUGAGAGCACGAUCGGUCAGAGGGGAACUGAGACACGGCCCCCACUCCUACGGGAGGCAGCAGCAGGGAAUAUUGCGCAAUGGGCGAAAGCCUGACGCAGCGACACCGCGUGAGGGACGAAGGCUUUCGAGUCGUAAACCUCUUUUCUCAGGGAAUAGCAAGGAAGGUACCUGAGGAAUAAGCAUUGGCUAACUACGUGCCAGCAGCCGCGGUAAUAC
rnacentral:rRNA from 1 species